AUCGUCAUCGGUCGAAAUAGAAAAGAAAAAUACAUACUAUGAAUAUAUACGAACAAAUUACAUACAAAGCUCAAGUAAAUUACGCGAUCGACGAUACAAAGUGUAAGAUCAAAAGAAGUCGACGGCGUGUAGCAAUGGUUAAAACCUUUGGUACGAUUAACAGACAAACAGGAUCUUCGCCGCAGAAGGCCACGACGUAACGUGAUCAAAAUUGAAAUCGCUGCCAUCGGCUGCAUGCGUAAGAAACCUGUUUAACUCUUCUACGAAUAUACAAUCACGGCACAUUCGAACAACGUAAUUACACGCUGCGCAACUGUGAAGGUACUAGAACCAAAUUUAUCACCGCAAACUAUACUCUGCCACAAUGUUGCAAUCUACUGUCACCGACUCUGUGCGAUGCGAUUCGCCAUGUGUUGGUUUCUAACAUCGAGUAAAUAGAUUCCUCCUGACACAAAUAUACACCUCGACAGCCUAUUAUUUAUGUAGACGUUCCUUCAUAUUUCAUCCGAUUAAAAAUAACAAAUUCAAAAUUCAUUACGACCCUAUUCUAUCCAGUGUCAUCCACUGUAGUUAAUUCUAGCCUUAUAGGUAACACUACUCCAAUCGCUUAUCAGUAAACCUGAUACAAGCAGAGUUCCCCAUAUGUAUAACGAAUAUCCAUUCAUUCGUUUCGACUUCCCCUAUCUCGGAGAUCGGAAGAGCACACUUCUG